rnacentral:rRNA from 1 species
UACGUAGGGGGCAAGCGUUGUCCGGAUUUAUUGGGCGUAAAGAGCGUGUAGGCGGCCAGAUAGGUCCGUUGUGAAAACUCGAGGCUCAACCUCGAGACGCCGAUGGAAACCAUCUGGCUAGAGUCCGGAAGAGGAGAGUGGAAUUCCCGGUGUAGCGGUGAAAUGCGCAGAGAUCGGGAAGAACACCCGUGGCGAAGGCGGCUCUCUAGUACGGUACUGACGCUGAGGUGCGAAAGCGUGGGGAGCAAACAGG